rnacentral:rRNA from 1 species
GGUAGCCGGACUGAGAGGUUGAACGGCCACAUUGGGACUGAGACACGGCCCAGACUCCUACGGGAGGCAGCAGUGGGGAAUAUUGCACAAUGGGGGAAACCCUGAUGCAGCGACGCCGCGUGGAGGAAGAAGGUCUUCGGAUUGUAAACUCCUGUUGUUGAGGAAGAUAAUGACGGUACUCAACAAGGAAGUGACGGCUAACUACGUGCCAGCAGCCGCGGUAAAACGUAGGUCACAAGCGUUGUCCGGAAUUACUGGGUGUAAAGGGAGCGCAGGCGGGAAGACAAGUUGGAAGUGAAAUCUAUGGGCUCAACCCAUAAACUGCUUUCAAAACUGUUUUUCUUGAGUAGUGCAGAGGUAGGCGGAAUUCCCGGUGUAGCGGUGGAAUGCGUAGAUAUCGGGAGGAACACCAGUGGCGAAGGCGGCCUACUGGGCACCAACUGACGCUGAGGCUCGAAAGUGUGGGUAGCAAACAGGAUUAGAUACCCUGGUAGUCCACACCGUAAACGAUGAUUACUAGGUGUUGGAGGAUUGACCCCUUCAGUGCCGCAGUUAACACAAUAAGUAAUCCACCUGGGGAGUACGACCGCAAGGUUGAAACUCAAAGGAAUUGACGGGGGCCCGCACAAGCAGUGGAGUAUGUGGUUUAAUUCGACGCAACGCGAAGAACCUUACCAAGUCUUGACAUCCUGCGACGAUGCUGGAAACAGUAUUUUCCUUCGGGACGCAGAGACAGGUGGUGCAUGGUUGUCGUCAGCUCGUGUCGUGAGAUGUUGGGUUAAGUCCCGCAACGAGCGCAACCC